AUUCCACAAAGAAUUUCAUACGUUGUUCCAAACUUUUAAGUUACAAUCAUUUUAUACUUUUUUUUUUUUUUUUUUACAUAGGCUAUACUUUAACUUGAAUUUUUUGUGGCUAGCUUAUACAAAUAUAUGUUCAUAAAGAUAUUUAAAUCAUUGGUAGGGCUGGCCAUUUCACCCUGACUCGAUGGAUGUCUGAUCCACCCGAUCCAAUUAUAUGGAUGAAAACCCGAAAACAAUUGGAUUUUAAUCGGGUGACGGGUGGAUCGGGUGGUGGAUCAGGUCGGAUUCGGGUGGACUUAAAUCCCAACAUCCGACCCACUACCCGAUCCACCCAUCCACCCGUGAUUUCUUAUCUAAAAUAUAACUUUUUUUAGUGAAAUUAUGUUUGCAUAAAAAUCUGGUGACUUCUAGGGUUCAUUCACCGCCCCCUCAUCCCCUUCUCUCUCCCAGAUCCUCUCACUCUCACUUUGGAAAAGCUCAACGGCUCAGCCGCCGGAGUAACUAGCAACGUCGCCGAAGACCCAUAUCUGGAUGAAGAGGGUAUGGAAUUAUGGAUGAAUGAAUCUUUUCUCCAGAGAUGUGAUAGGAAGACCUGAUGUCUGCUUGAUUUCAAAGUUGUAGUCUAUUAUUAGAAAUAGCAUGUAAUUCGUGCUUUAAACUUUAAAAACACUACAAUGAUGUGGAGUAUCUGUACUAUUUUUUCCAGUUUUUAAUGAAAAUUUUGACAUCAUUUAGGAAUUAAUUGUGCUCUAACCUUCACCCGUGAAGCACCCGAUCCACCCGAUUCACCUGUGGAUGAUGGGUGGGUUGGAUGUGAAUGGGAAAAAAUAGGGUGAUGGAUGGGUCGGGUGAUGGAUGAAAUGUUGGCGGAUGGAGGCGGAUUGAGCUCCACCCGAUCCACCUCCGAUCCAUUGCCAGCCCUAAUCAUUGGUCAUUCAAUUUGUUGAAUUUCUUGUUAUGUUAUACGAAGUAUAUCUCUCCAAGAAGCAUGCAUGUUGGAGUAAAUUCACUACUACAAAACCCUUGGUUUUUGGACGCUGGUACCUCGACGCUUGGCUUUGGGCGUUGGGAGGAAAACUUUACUCUCGUCGAUUUUUGGCGUCUACGAUUAUCUAGACAGCUUUCUGCGUCGAAAGUGCACGUGCAAGGCACGUGUAUUCAAGUUUAGUAGGAAUAUUACGGAGCCUCCCACGCUCUAUCACUCUUAACUCCCAGCAACCACAUCUUCUCUCAAACCCUAAACCAUUUCAUCUGCAAAUCAUCCCUGGGAAAGGACUCAAUUCUCACACUGUCACUUCGCCAUUGCCUUCAGAGUGGCACAAAACCCCGUCAAAGAUUCUUCUACUUCAGAUCCAAUUUUCAUUUUCUUCCCAAUUUCAUUUCAUUGUGUUGGACGAACUUUCCGAGGAUACAAAUGACAGUUCAUCUUUCAUAAACAUCAGAUGAUGUAUUAAAAAUCUGGAGUCUGCAUCCCAUAUAUAUCAUAUUGGCUAGAGUGCUAUCUGACGCGCCUCAAUUAAAGGUAGAAUUUCUAUUGCUUUAUCUUUCAGAUUUUACUAAUGACAGCACAAUUACUCCAGAAUUUAAAAAGCCUUUUACAAUCUGUGUGGUAGUUUGUUGUUGGAUUGGUUCUUCACAUGAUGUUUGAGUAUCUGAUAUCAGUAUUAAAUUUUAUUUUUUGAGUAUCUGAUACCAGUAUUAACUAAAACAUUUAGCAAUUGUUUUGUACAGUUAUUAACAUUAGUACUUGGCAGUUUAUCGCUGCACUAAAGCUCGACUCUUCAAGACUUCAAGCACAGGAAACAAACAAGUGUAUUGAUAUUCUAAUCUUCCGUAAUUUAUAGUCAUAGACCUUCUUACCUUUUGACUUUUGUAGAGUACUUGUAGUUUAUUUGUUCUACCUUCCGUAAUUUAUUGAUAUUCUAACUUGAUUGUUUUAAAGUCGGAUAUGCAUGGGUGAAUAUCCCCUUCCUGCGCUGCAAAUAUUCUAAUCUAUAAAUCUUUUAGCAGUACUGUAAGCCACUGACCUAGUGGUUUGAAUUUCACAUUAUUGUUUCACAUUAGUUGCCUGCGGCCCUGCUCCUUUCCUAUGGUCAAGAGGUUUCCAGGGAAGCUGUUUUGACUUUUGUUGAAGUAAAGCUUUCUUUUGUUUCUCCUUGUGUAGUUAGGCAAGCAAAUGCAAAUAUCAAGAGCCUUAUAUUAUCAGAAACUUUUGUUAUGUUUCUCAAAGAUAAAUCAGACUAUCAGAAACUUUUGUUAUGUUUUUAUUUAGAAUCCAAAUAUUAAGAGCCUUAUAUUUAUGUGUUAUUCCUAUCCUCUACCACUUGUUUGAAUUUUUAAAUAAUGCUUUGUCCAACAUUCUGAAAAACUAGAAUGAAAUUUGGAUUUCCUUUUCUCCUAAGAGCUACAAAGAACUGAUGGCUAAGUGCAAUUCUCUAGGGAGGGGAAAAGCUCGUUCACUGAGAAAGCUUGAAAAUGUAAAAGAAAAUAUUGUAAAGCUCAAGUGAUUAGGUGGUUGCCGACUGCCGAGUGUUUUAAAUAGGUAUGCUCAAAAUCAAGCAUCCAAGGUGCAAUCAGACUCAAACUUGUUGGUUGAUUGGUUUACAAGUGGACGCUACGAAAGCGAAGAAAGAUGGAAUUUUGAAUUAUGCAGGAGCGAAAACAAUUUUUUCUAUGAAGAUGGCCAGCCUUUGUUUCUUUAUAUGGGCUCCAAGGAUGUAAGCCAUUAUUGUGGAUCUUGCAGAAAAGGCUGUUUCCAUGUGCUUAUCAGUUGUUCUCUGGUCACUUUCAGGUCUUGUGAUUCAAGUUCUAGCUGCAUGAUAGAGAGAAGAUAAAUUCUGCAGCAAGUUGUAUCCCAUGUUCCACGGAGAUUAUUCUAGAAGCUCUAAAUUUACAAGUAAAGAGAAAUGGCGACAAGUCUUUUUUCAAUGCUUUUAGUGUAAAACAAUUUCGAUAGGAAGUGCGUCGUGAUAGUUAAUUAUAUAAUUUUAUAUUGUAUGGUUAUUAUUAUUUUUUCCCAUUAUUUGAACAAAUCCAUUCAAGACUCAUAUUCUGUAUUCUAUACGUUAAUGAUUAAUGAAAAGAUUCCAUU